CUUAAGUCCCACAUAUCAGCCUAGAUUCAACUUUUAGGUUUGCCAAAAUAUUCCUGAAGUUUUUGUUCACAAUUAAAUUGUAGCAAAACUUGCACUAGGGAGUCUUCUCUUUCCCCAAACUAAAUUCACCACUAUCUUUAACAUCUAAAGAGACCCCAUCCUCCGAAAUGUCAUCUUUAGAAAAGCUAUCUAGGUGGCUUUGUAAUUCUGUCGAACACCUUGAAUUUAGGACAUGAUUUUAACCGCCUCUCAAACCCCUUUGCCAACCUAGUCCAUUAGCCAAACAAGCAUGUCCUCAAGAACCUUUUUUACCCUAAACCAUGACCCUGUUAAAUUUUAAUUGCAUCAAAUCUCCUUAAGCUAUCUUAGCAUUUUGUAGAGCAG
rnacentral:lncRNA from 1 species